rnacentral:rRNA from 1 species
UACAGAGGGUGCGAGCGUUGUCCGGAAUCACUGGGCGUAAAGGGCGCGUAGGUGGCCCCGACAAGUCAGUGGUGAAAGUUCGACGCUUAACGUCGAAUCGGCCACUGAUACUGUUGGGCUGGAGCACUGUAGAGGCUCAUGGAAUUCCGGGUGUAGCGGUGGAAUGCGUAGAGAUCCGGAAGAACACCGGUGGCGAAGGCGGUGAGCUGGGCAGUUGCUGACACUGAGGCGCGACAGCGUGGGGAGCAAACAGG